rnacentral:tmRNA from 1 species
UCUCGCCACCCCCCUUGCAAGACACAACAUGCCGCCCUAUAUUCAAAGUGUCCUUCGGGACUAUGGACAUAAACGCGCUCGUAAUACGCGGAUCGGACCCGGGGGCGGUACCCGGCGUCUCCACCAAACAUCCUUCAUUUGGGGAUCAUGGGGACGAAACAGGAUCGACGAACGUCUAAAAGGGUUUGCUUUGUUUCGGCUGUCUGCCACCGUUAUCGGCGAAAACUGUACAAUUGCAAAUGACAAUCGUGCUCCGAUGGCAGUUGCAGCGUAAGCUGUAACCA